GCCGGGCGUGGUGGCGGGCGCCUGUAAUCCCAGCUACUCAGGAGGCUGAGGCAGGAGAAUCGCUUGAACCUGGGAGGCGGAGGUUGCACUGAGCCGAGAUUGGGCCAGUAUACUCCAACCUGGGUGACAAAGCGAGACUCUGUCUCAA
ensembl:misc_RNA Metazoa_SRP Metazoan signal recognition particle RNA